UACGUAGGGUGCGAGCGUUAAUCGGAAUUACUGGGCGUAAAGCGUGCGCAGGCGGCUUUGCAAGACAGAUGUGAAAUCCCCGGGCUCAACCUGGGAACUGCGUCUGAUACUGGAUGGCUUGAAUUCGGGAGAGGGAUGCAGAAUUCCAGGUGUAGCGGUGAAAUGCGUAGAUAUCUGGAGGAAUACCGGUGGCGAAGGCGGCAUCCUGGACCGACAUUGACGCUGAUGAGCGAAAGCUAGGGGAGCAAACGGG
rnacentral:rRNA from 1 species